GCGGCAGGCCUACCAUGCAGUCGAGCGGAUGACGGGAGCUUGCUCCUUGAUUCAGCGGCGGACGGGUGAGUAAUGCCUAGGAAUCUGCCUGGUAGUGGGGGACAACGUUUCGAAAGGAACGCUAAUACCGCAUACGUCCUACGGGAGAAAGCAGGGGACCUUCGGGCCUUGCGCUAUCAGAUGAGCCUAGGUCGGAUUAGCUAGUUGGUGGGGUAAUGGCUCACCAAGGCGACGAUCCGUAACUGGUCUGAGAGGAUGAUCAGUCACACUGGAACUGAGACACGGUCCAGACUCCUACGGGAGGCAGCAGUGGGGAAUAUUGGACAAUGGGCGAAAGCCUGAUCCAGCCAUGCCGCGUGUGUGAAGAAGGUCUUCGGAUUGUAAAGCACUUUAAGUUGGGAGGAAGGGCAGUAAGCUAAUACCUUGCUGUUUUGACGUUACCGACAGAAUAAGCACCGGCUAACUCUGUGCCAGCAGCCGCGGUAAUACAGAGGGUGCAAGCGUUAAUCGGAAUUACUGGGCGUAAAGCGCGCGUAGGUGGUUUGUUAAGUUGGAUGUGAAAGCCCCGGGCUCAACCUGGGAACUGCAUCCAAAACUGGCAAGCUAGAGUACGGUAGAGGGUGGUGGAAUUUCCUGUGUAGCGGUGAAAUGCGUAGAUAUAGGAAGGAACACCAGUGGCGAAGGCGACCACCUGGACUGAUACUGACACUGAGGUGCGAAAGCGUGGGGAGCAAACAGGAUUAGAUACCGUGGUAGUCCACGCCGUAAACGAUGUCAACUAGCCGUUGGAAUCCUUGAGAUUUUAGUGGCGCAGCUAACGCAUUAAGUUGACCGCCUGGGGAGUACGGCCGCAAGGUUAAAACUCAAAUGAAUUGACGGGCGCCCGCACAAGCGGUAGAGCAUGUGGUUUAUUCGAAGCAACGCGAAGAAUCUUUACCAGGCCGUGACAUGCAGAGAACUUUCCAGAGAUGGAUGGUGCCUUCGAGAACUCUGACACAGGUGCUGCAUGGCUGUCGUCAGCUCGUGUCGUGAGAUGUGGGUUAAGUCCCGUAACGAGCGCCACC
rnacentral:rRNA from 1 species